UAGUAAAAUUCUAUUUCUGCCCUUUUUGGU
rnacentral:piRNA from 1 species